GCCUAGAUAGCUCAGUUGGGAGAGCGUUAGACUGAAGAUCUAAAGGUCCCUGGUUCGAUCCCGGGUCUGGGCA
rnacentral:tRNA from 1 species